GUUCAAUUGCCUUUUAAGAGGGUUAGUUUUCAGCAUUCUAGCCCACUUGAGUGCUGCAGCUGGAAGUUAUAAAUGUUUAAUGUUCUAAUGUUGUAUCUAAUGAUACAAUCUAAAUAUCUUUGCUCUAAAAUUACUUAUCCCUACAGUUUUGGAACCACCUUUGGCUUUUUUUUUUACAUGCUCAUUCAAAGGGAGUCCUAUAGUUC